GUGUGUGUGUGAUUGACUGCAGGUGUGUCCAAUCAGUGCAAUGUAACAUGGGAAAUGUAGUCCAGUGUGACGUGCA